CUGGUCUGCCUUUCAGGCCUCGCAUCCCGAGGUCUCUUUUGGCCCCUCCUCUGGCCUGGAGCUCGAGCCUGGGGAGCCUUAGACUUCUUGUUAACCGCCUGAGAAGGGCACUUGGGUCAAACGUCAUUUCUGCAAAAAAAUAACAUGUUAUAAGCACGAGCAUGAGUAAAAUAUAUAGGUCGGGAAAUUAAGCGUCAAAAUCACGUAUCCUACCCUUGAUGCCUUUCAUGUUCGCAAGCUCGAGGAUAUCAUCCCCGAGGAUAUCAUCCAAGUCAUAAACGAGGGGCUCGAGCUCCUCUAGCAUUUGCCUAUGCCUCUCCAACGAC
rnacentral:lncRNA from 1 species